GAUUUCAUUUUUCCCAUUCUUUCUUUUUCUCUUUGUGGGGGGAGGGAGUGGGUGGGGUUUGUGAACCUUGCAGUGUUGGGCAUUGCCUCCCUCGCUGCUUGACAUUAUUUUCUCCUUCGAUACACGAUAAAGUGCACAAACACACUCGCAAUCCAUCUUUCUAGUUGGUUUCCAAGGAUAUAUGUUGACGAUUUGUGGGAAGUAUGGCUCCAGUUUUUUCGAGAUCUGCCUGGCAUCGUGCUUGGCAUCUUAUACAGAAAGGAAUGUUAGAGAUGAGACCAUGGAUUAGAUUCUGGUCGUUUCCGCAUGAAGGAGAAAGGGCUGCUUGAUCUUAAAGGGGAAAUCUGGUGGAUAGAUGUGGUGUUUGGACUUUAGUCUAAGCAUUGUUCUAUUUCUGGUUUGAUGCAUAGUACUAACUAGGUUGACGUCAAAUUUAAUUGGCACUAUCAGGUGGGCAUCACACUUCAAGCAUCUCAUCCACCUCUUUCAGAUAUUAUGGCCUUCGGCUUCAGGGAUUGCAGCAUUCAGGAAUUAAACUGUGUUAAAAAAAAAUUAGAGUUGGUGCCUGUUUAAUAUUUGAUUUGAGAAUAGCCUGCUAUGUGGGCAUUGUUUUGGGUGGUUUAGCCUGUCCUAGGUUUGUUUACGCAACAAUUAAGAGUUGGUAACAGAAGCAUUUUGCAAAUUGCUUCUGCUUUCUUUGUAAUUUGUAUAUUUUAACUGU